GUGAAGCAACAUGCCUAUUUAUAACAGUUAACUAGAUAGAAAAUUAACACACACAUACACUAGCUAGCUUCUUCUUCUUGAGUCAAGUGUACCCAGCUGCUCUUAAUCACCCUGCUCCAUUUCUAGUUAUUUGCCUCGGCCUCCUCUUCCAUUUCCUUUUCAAUUCCAAGACUGGUGCAUUUCUUUCUUCUCUUUUACUAACAUUUUAUUGUACGUGUUUACCUUGCAGUUUUGAACAAAAGCGAGUGAAAAGAUGGACUCCGGAAUUGGCUACAGAUUCCAUCCAACCGAUGAAGAAUUGGUGAAUCAUUACCUGAGGCUGAAGAUGCUUGGUUACGAUCAUGAAGUCCAAGAGAUCCCGGACGUUAAUGUCUUGGAUUUUGAACCUUGGGACUUGCCUCGUAAGCAUAGUAUUCUGUUUCUGUUUCCUUCAUUUAUUGGUAAUUUCUCCUUGGCCUUGCACAAUAUUUUAUAGCAAGUAAUUGCAAUGCAGAUAUCGAGCAUCCGGAGGUGGUGAUAUCUUAUAACCCAAAUGACCAAGUGUGGUAUUUCUUUUGCCCUCGCAAAUACAGGAACUCAAAUAGUCACAAGGCGAAAAGGACGACGAAUGCUGGAUACUGGAAGGUCACAAGCAAGGAUCGUAAAAUCAACGAGAAUUGUAUAAAAAAGAAUUUGGUUUUCUAUCAAGGUCGUCAUAAAGGGGAGAAGACCAACUGGAUCAUGCAUGAGUACAAUCCCACCUUCAACUUCCCAACCCAGGUUCUGAUGUCAUUUCUAAGUCACUCUAGUUUAUACUUCAUAUUGCAGAGUCUCAUACAAUAUUUCAAUACUUGUGUAGAGGGAUUUCGUUCUUUGCAAAUUGAAGAAGAAGCCAGAUGAUUCAGAUGAUAUGCCAACCUUGGCAGAAGGUGAUCAAUCCAGUACCGUGGUGGCUUCUGCUUCCGCUUCUGGAAACAAUAUAACAGAGGAAGACUCUCAGCUACAAGCAUAUAUGGAAUCAUUUAAUGGCAUCGAUGAAACGGAUUUCAAUCUUAACUACGCACUGCAGUGGCCGACUUACAAUUAUAAUUAAGAAUUUGCACAUGUAUUUGGAAGGGCGUUGCUGAUGCCGCGCGUAGGUAGUUAUGGUUCCUUUUCAGCUACGAGAAGCGAAGAAUAAGUUCAACUUAAUGCAGCAUCUGCUGUUAUAUAUGUCAUAUGUGUAUCAGAGGUGUACUACGUUGCAUGAGAUUUUCUGUUAAAAGUUUUAUAUGUAUUUCCUUCCUGUUUGUUUGCUCUAUGUAAGCCUACGUGCUUGUUUGUUUGUUCUAUGUAAAUGUUUGAUUGUUCUAUGUAAGCGGUAAGCCUAUGUUAUAUAUAUGGGUUUCCUUGUUCAAUUUGGAUUGUUUAAUGCAAUAGUUAUAAGCAUUGGC
rnacentral:misc_RNA from 1 species